AGUCGGAUCCAAAGAAAUGAUUUAAACGGCAAAAAUAAAAUCAAACAUGAAAAUUGAAAUCCAAUAUAUCAUCAUUUCCUUAUAAUAUACUAGUAUUGAAUCAACUAUAUACUGGUGAAUUACUUUCGGAUUUCGGUCUAAGGAUGGAGAAAGAUGUUCACUAUGAAUCAAAAAUUCAAAACAGAGGACUUUUAUAUAUCAACAAAAACAAUUGCAGUACAUGCACAUAUACAUGUAUAAAAGUACACUGUCAGCAUGGUCAGAAGAAGAAUUUUACUGGAGGAUUAAAAUUUUGAUACCUGGAAUCAGCAAUGAAUAUGAAAAUGAAAAUGAUAUAUAUUCAUGUACAGAAUGGUAACCGAGGUGGUUCAAUUGUUUUAUUAGCAGACAUUUUUGUUGAACUUAUGCAGGAUUGAAUAAAUGAAACUUAAGCUGACUAUGGGCUCAAUGUGUAGUAAAAAGAGGAUUUUGAAAUAUAUGCAAGAUUCAUCAACAUUACAAUGUGCACAAGUGAAAUAUCACCAUAUUUAUUUGUGAU